rnacentral:piRNA from 1 species
UGAACAUGGCAUACACAAG